rnacentral:rRNA from 1 species
UACGAAGGGGGCUAGCGUUGUUCGGAAUUACUGGGCGUAAAGCGCGUGUAGGCGGUUCUUUAAGUCAGGGGUGAAAUGCCAAGGCUCAACCUUGGAACUGCCUUUGAUACUGGAGAUCUUGAGUCCGGGAGAGGUGAGUGGAACUGCGAGUGUAGAGGUGAAAUUCGUAGAUAUUCGCAAGAACACCAGUGGCGAAGGCGGCUCACUGGCCCGGAACUGACGCUGAGACGCGAAAGCGUGUGGAGCAAACAGG